GUUAUUAUUUUAAACGAAUAACAAAAAUAGCUUUAUAUUGAAACAUAUAAAACGCAAUUACUUAUAUCCAAUAUAAAAUAGUAUUCUAAUAGAUUCUAAAGCAAAAGGACAAAAUAACUGAUCUUUUUUGCAAAACAAAAAUGAAAUUCCUGGAAUUAUUUUUCAUUAUUGGUUGCAUUGUUGCCGGUGUAAUGUCAGCUCCUGGGCAUAAUAUUAUAAGUGGCAAUAAUAACAAUAAUAAUCACCAAUCAAGUAUGGAUUUAGGUUUAGAUUUAAAAUUACCAAAUGUAUUAUAAAUAUGUCUUUAGACUAAAAUUAAACGAUAUUUUAAAUUAAUAUAAUAAACUUAACUUGAAUAUUAAAUACUUAUUUUUAUAUAAGA